rnacentral:rRNA from 1 species
UAGGGAAUCUUGCGCAAUGGGCGAAAGCCUGACGCAGCGACGCCGCGUGAGGGAAGAAGGCCUUGGUUGUAACCUCUUUCAGGAGGGACGAAGCUACUCGGGUGAACAGCCCAGAGGGUGACGGUACCUCCAGAAGAAGCCCCGGCUAACUACGUGCCAGCAGCCGCGGUAAUACGUAGGGGCGAGCGUUGUCCGGAUUUACUGGGCGUAAAGCGCGUGUAGGCGGCCGUACAGGUCUGUUGUGAAAACUGGAGGCUCAACCUCCAGACGUCGAUAGAAACCGUGCGGCUAGAGUCCGGAAGAGGAGAGUGGAAUUCCUGGUGUAGCGGUGAAAUGCGCAGAUAUCAGGAAGAACACCAAUGGCGAAGGCAGCUCUCUGGGACGGUACUGACGCUGAGACGCGAAAGCGUGGGGAGCGAACAGGGUAUUAGGAUACCCUGGUAGUCCACGCCGUAAACGAUGGGUGCUAGGUGUGGGAGGUCGUCGACUCCUUCCGUGCCGCAA